CGGGGGGCAGCUAUAAUGCAAGUCGAGCGGAAGAUGGGAGCUUGCUCCCUGAUGUUAGCGGCGGACGGGUGAGUAACACGUGGGUAACCUGCCUGUAAGACUGGGAUAACUCCGGGAAACCGGGGCUAAUACCGGAUGGUUGUUUGAACCGCAUGGUUCAAACAUAAAAGGUGGCUUCGGCUACCACUUACAGAUGGACCCGCGGCGCAUUAGCUAGUUGGUGAGGUAACGGCUCACCAAGGCAACGAUGCGUAGCCGACCUGAGAGGGUGAUCGGCCACACUGGGACUGAGACACGGCCCAGACUCCUACGGGAGGCAGCAGUAGGGAAUCUUCCGCAAUGGACGAAAGUCUGACGGAGCAACGCCGCGUGAGUGAUGAAGGUUUUCGGAUCGUAAAGCUCUGUUGUUAGGGAAGAACAAGUACCGUUCGAAUAGGGCGGUACCUUGACGGUACCUAACCAGAAAGCCACGGCUAACUACGUGCCAGCAGCCGCGGUAAUACGUAGGUGGCAAGCGUUGUCCGGAAUUAUUGGGCGUAAAGGGCUCGCAGGCGGUUUCUUAAGUCUGAUGUGAAAGCCCCCGGCUCAACCGGGGAGGGUCAUUGGAAACUGGGGGAACUUGAGUGCAGAAGAGGAGAGUGGAAUUUCCACGUGUAGCGGUGAAAUGCGUAGAGAUGUGGAGGAACACCAGUGGGCGAAAGGCGACUCUCUUGGUCUUGUAACUGAUCGUUGAGGAGCGUAAG
rnacentral:rRNA from 2 species